rnacentral:rRNA from 1 species
GACGAACGCUGGCGGCGUGCCUAAUACAUGCAAGUCGAACGCAUUUUCUUUCACCGUAGCUUGCUACACCGAAAGAAAAUGAGUGGCGAACGGGUGAGUAACACGUGGGUAACCUGCCCAUCAGCGGGGGAUAACACUUGGAAACAGGUGCUAAUACCGCAUAAUUCCAUUUACUGCAUGGUAGAUGGAUGAAAGGCGCUUUUGCGUCACUGAUGGAUGGACCCGCGGUGCAUUAGCUAGUUGGUGGGGUAACGGCCUACCAAGGCUGCGAUGCAUAGCCGACCUGAGAGGGUGAUCGGCCACACUGGGACUGAGACACGGCCCAGACUCCUACGGGAGGCAGCAGUAGGGAAUCUUCGGCAAUGGACGCAAGUCUGACCGAGCAACGCCGCGUGAGUGAAGAAGGGUUUCGGAUCGUAAAACUCUGUUGUUAGAAAAGAACAAGGAUGAGAGUGGAAAGUUCAUCCCUUGACGGUAUCUAAACAGAAAGCCACGGCUAACUACGUG